ensembl:lncRNA
GCACAAGCACCUUCAUGAAUUAGUUUAACUGGAAUUAGUUUAACUGGAAGCUUUCCUGCUGACAGCUUGCUGAUAUGUGUCAAAGGUGGAAGGAAGGAGACUGACAGAAUGGGAGCAAGAGAGGAAAACAGGCUAAUCUUGGAGUCUGGACCUCUGUGAGAGAAAGGAGUCCUGAGUGGAGGGUACCUGAGCAACCUGAAGAGAAACUAGAUGAUGAUAUACCCUGCACGAAGAAGUGGAGGGCCAGGCAGGCAGAUUAUAGUUCAGAUCCAGAUGUUGAAUGGGAGAGCAGGCACAUGGAUGGACGGAUAGUAUUUCCCCACCCCCUUGAAGUUAGGCAGUCGUGUGACUUGCACUGGCCAAUGAAAUGUGAGCAGAAGUUCAUGUGUCACUGGUAGGUAAGAGCAUUUAAUUGCCAGUGUCGGAAUCCCCACCUCUCUCUACCCUUGCCUCAGUGAUAUUGCCAUGCAACACUGAGCCUUCAGAUGGAGGAUGGCCAUCCAAGAGAGUCACCCACAACCACCAACAGAACCUGCACGACCAAGAAUAAACUUUUGCUGUUUAAAGCCCGUGAAACAGUAAAGUUAUCUGUUGCUGCAGUAGGACCUAACCUAUCCUGCCUAAGACGAUAUCCAUAAUCCCACAACCCAGGGAUAAUUUUUAUUUACGUUUAAAACAUUUUUGUCAAGGAUAUUUUAAAUGUAUGAUUUUAUAUAAUUGGGAUCUUGAUGUGUUGUAUUCUAACUUUAACUACUAAACAUAUUAUGAAAAGAUAUUUCUUUGCUUUCUAAUGCCUCCAGCACAUCAUGUUUUGGUUUUUUCUUUUCUUCUUAGCACUUACCACCUUGUGAAAUUAUCAUUAUUCAUUUACUUAUUUACUUGUCUUUUGUUAUUUUUCUCAUUUUUCCGUGAGGGCAGGGAUCCUUUUUAUCUUGCUCACUUUUGUUUUCCCCAGUAUCUGAAAAGUCCUUGGCACAUAACAGGUGCUUAAUAAAUAUUUGUUGAAAGAAUAAUGAAUGAAUAUUCCAUAUGAAUUUACCUUAAGUUAUCUAACAAUUUGCCUUGGUUGGGCAUUUUCAUUUUUUCCCUUUGAAGACCGUAUUUUUACAGAAAUCUUUUUAUUUAUCUCUGAUUACUUUGUUUAGUAUAAAUUCCUAGAAGUGGGACUAAUUACUGCAUCAAAAGACCUGAAUAAUUUUAAGGCUCCUGACUCAUAUUGCCCAACUACCCCUCGAAAAAAUUGUAUCCAUAUUCACUCCCAGCAGCGUAUGAGAGUACUUGGUUAAUGUUCACUAACGCUGCAUAUUUUUUUUAAAAGUCAGGAGUAUAUUUGAUAAAUCAUCACUCAUAAUAAUCUUUUAAAUUUUUUUAUGCAUUCUAAUUUGAAUAUGGGUUUGUCUAAUAACCUAGGAAUUCAUAUCUACUACUACCAACAAAAUUAAUAAAGUCACAUUGAAAAUCCAGAAGGAAUUGGGCAACUCAAGUUUCCUGUUCUGAUAUUUGCUGUCUCUUUCCUAAAACCCACUCUCUUACUGGGCCCAUCCCUCCAAUUUCCAAUCUUCUUAUAGGAGAAAUGUGAUCAAUAGUGUGGUUGCUCAAGAGUUGCUACCACACAAAAACAAGGAGAUUGAAUUGUCAUUGAACCAAUUAGUUUCUUCCAAUAGUUGGGAAGAGUCUCUGUUAUCAACAAAUAAAACACUUAAAUAGAGAGAAGGCUGUUAAAAAACUGGAAAGCAAGAUCUGAAAUUUCAUCAAUUUGCCCAUAGAUAUUCAUUUAAUUUUUUGCUAUUAGAGGUAAUUUUCAAUUCUUCAAAGCACUGUGUAUGUUCAAAACAAUAUUGCUCCAGAGGAGGAUGAAGCACCAUGUUCUAACUGAGGAAACCAGCCUGUCUAAGCCAGCAAAUGGAAGUAGGAGGUGGAAUCCUUUUACAAAACUUAGCUUCCUGCUGUUCAUUCCGGGUUGCCCAAGCUUCCUGAUGGUAAUGAAAUUACCUUCAAGCGAAAGACCGAGACUUAGGAGAGAAAUUGAGCACGGAAAAUCAAUACUAAGUUUCAGUGGCUCCUGACCAGAUCAUUAAGCUCCUUUUUUUAGCACAGAGAGAGACAGAUCCAAGCAACCCAGUCCUGUCUCCCUGGUUGGUGGGCAACAUCGCAAAUAACAUUAGAUUUUGGUUUCUUUAAAAACUAUAAAAAUCAUUCAAAUCUGAGAGGUUACCUAUUUUUUUCAAUGGUGUCAAUACUGACUUGAGAUGUUCAUCUUUAAUUGAGUUGGCAUUUUAAUUGGGCAUUAACUUUCUCCAUGAAAAUGGAGAUGAAAGGAAUUAUUGGGGCUGUAGCUUUUUGAAAGAACAUUUGUCAAUAACAUCAGAAGUGCCGGCAGUGAGG